GGGCUUGUGGUUUAGUGGUAUAAUACUCCCUUAGCACCUACAGCACCUACAGCAUCUAUAGCAUCUACAGCAUCUACGAUCUAUCAGAUCCUGUGUAUGGCUUGGGAGUGGUCCGGGGUUCGAUUCCCCGCGAGUCCA